GAUGAACGCUAGCGGCAGGCUUAAUACAUGCAAGUCAAGGGGGUAGCAAUACAACCGGCGCACGGGUGAGUAACGCGUACACAACAUACCAUAUACUGGAGUAUAGCUUUGGGAAACUGAAGGUAAUCCUCCAUAACAUUGCGAGAGGGCAUCUGAUUGCAAUUAAAGUUCCGACGGUAUAUGAUUGGUGUGCGUUUGAUUAGCUAGUUGGUAGGGUAACGGCCUACCAAGGCGACGAUCAAUAGCUGGCGUGAGAGCGCGACCAGCCACACUGGAACUGAGACACGGUCCAGACUCCUACGGGAGGCAGCAGUAGGGAAUAUUGGACAAUGGGCGAAAGCCUGAUCCAGCCAUGCCGCGUGAUAGAUGAAGGCCCUCUGGGUUGUAAAUAUCUUUAUCUGGGAGAAACUCCUCUAUUCUUAGAGGCCUGACGGUACCAGAGGAAUAAGCACCGGCUAACUCCGUGCCAGCAGCCGCGGU
rnacentral:rRNA from 1 species